rnacentral:rRNA from 1 species
UACGGGGGGGGCAAGCGUUGUUCGGAAUUACUGGGCGUAAAGGGCGCGUAGGCGGCCUUCUAAGUCGGACGUGAAAUCCCUCGGCUUAACCGAGGAACUGCGUCCGAUACUGAAAGGCUUGAAUCCGGGAGAGGGAUGUGGAAUUCCAGGUGUAGCGGUGAAAUGCGUAGAUAUCGGGAGGAACACCAAUGGCGAAGGCAGCUCGCUGGGACGGUACUGACGCUGAGACGCGAAAGCGUGGGGAGCAAACAGG